AUCCAGUACUGAUAUGGAACAAUAUUACCAUUGAUUAGUUAAUGUAAGUCAUUAGAAGCUCAUUAAUAAAACCAAGAACCUCAUUAAUAAAACCAAGAUUUUUCUAUACUGAAACAGGCCUCUUUAGAGAAACUUAUAGACUAAAAAUAAUACUUCAUUGUUUUAGCUGAGAGUAAGUAUGACUUUUGAAAGUCACAGGAAUUAUAUAGCCUGCCAAUAAUAUUAGAAAUGCUCAAAAGCUAAACUAAUAUCCUCUGGAAAAACUUUUAAGAAUUUGAGGUAUAUGGGAAAGCUAGUUUUCUCUAUGCCUAACUCCCAAAUGUUCUUUGAAAGUCGCUUUAUUCGGUAGUUAAGUAUUCUCUUUAUUUCACAUAACUUUUUCUAUAUUUAUGAUGAGGUAAAAUUUGGUAACCUAUAACUGAACUGCAAUGUCAAUAAUUCAUGUGUCACUUUAUUUAUUUGGCAUCCCAUUUGUAAAUUUGAUGCUUGAAAAUCUCCACGUACUCAAAAUCCUGAGCAUGAUAACCUGAUUUGUUUUAGUUCCAUGAAAUUAUACACACAAAACUUUCGAAGUCAGAUGCUUUCUUUUGCUGUAGUAUCAAAUUAUAAUAUUUUAACUUUCACACAUCUUUCUCCAUAUUUUAAGGUCUCUAAUCCUAAUAGAAUAUUAUGAUAUAUCAAAUUUGUUAUUUUAUUUACAGCACAGUGAGACUCUUUAUUGUAUAUUUAUACUCAUUAAAUCUAUUCUCAGAAUUUGCACGUAUGAAUUAUAGAAUGUCAGUAUAUAAUUAGAUUUAAGUACUUCUUUCACUAAUGCAAAUAACAAAAUAUGCCUAGACAGUUAAAGAUGUAAAACUAAACUAUUGAAUCUAGUAAUUUGAUAACGUAUUAAUUUAAUUAUUAAUAAGGUUAUUUUUUGUUAUUAAAUGAAAGAACUGCUAGAAAUGAAGAUCAAUUGUUACAAGAAGAUGAGGUGGUACUUAACCAGAAGGUUCUCCUGGCAGACUUGGUGCAUCUUGGUGGAUAUAUCUGGUAUAGAUAGGUACAGGAUAGAAGUCAGCACAAGCAACAAAUCCCAGCGAAAGAGGAACAAAAUUGUAUACCACGAUCUUCCAUGCCAGCUGGGCGGCGAAUGCAACCUACAGUGGGCAUGUAUAGCAUGAGGACAUUCCAGUAGCCCUAUGUUGUAAGGAACUGAGUCAGCCUGCCAACAACCACUGAAAAACUGAGGCCUCCUGCUGACAGUCGUGUGAAAGAAACAUAUUGGAAGUGGAUCCUCCAGGUCUGGUCAUACCUCAGAUGACUGCAGCCCAAGCCAACAUCUCAUCUUGACUGCAGCCUCAUGAGUGACUUAGCCUGAACCACACAGCUGGAAUAUUUCUGACCCAC
rnacentral:lncRNA from 13 species